rnacentral:rRNA from 1 species
GACGAACGCUGGCGGCGUGCUUAACACAUGCAAGUCGAACGGAAAGGCCCUGCUUUUGUGGGGUGCUCGAGUGGCGAACGGGUGAGUAACACGUGAGUAACCUGCCCUUGACUUUGGGAUAACUUCAGGAAACUGGGGCUAAUACCGGAUAGGAUCUCCUGCUACAUGGUGGGGGUUGGAAAGUUUCGGCGGUUGGGGAUGGACUCUCGCCUUAUCAGCUUGUUGGUGGGGUAGUGGCUUACCAAGGCUUUGACGGGUAGCCGGCCUGAGAGGGUGACCGGCCACAUUGGGACUGAGAUACGGCCCAGACUCCUACGGGAGGCAGCAGUGGGGAAUAUGACACAAUGGGCGGAAGCCUGAGGCAGCAACGCCGCGUGCGGGAUGACGGCCUUCGGGUUGUAAACCGCUUUCGCCUGUGACGAAGCGUGAGUGACGGUAAUGGGUAAAGAAGCACCGGCUAACUACGUG